rnacentral:rRNA from 1 species
UACGUAGGGUGCAAGCGUUGUCCGGAAUUAUUGGGCGUAAAGAGCUCGUAGGCGGUCUGUCGCGUCUGCUGUGAAAACUCAGGGCUUAACCCUGAGCUUGCAGUGGGUACGGGCAGACUAGAGUGCGGUAGGGGAGACUGGAAUUCCUGGUGUAGCGGUGAAAUGCGCAGAUAUCAGGAGGAACACCGGUGGCGAAGGCGGGUCUCUGGCCCGGUACUGACGCUGGAGGCGACGGAAAGCGUGGGGAGCAAACAGG